rnacentral:rRNA from 1 species
GCCUGAUGCAGCAACGCCGCGUGAGGGACGACGGCCUUCGGGUUGUAAACCUCUUUUAGCAGGGAAGAAGCGAAAGUGACGGUACCUGCAGAAAAAGCACCGGCUAACUACGUGCCAGCAGCCGCGGUAAUACGUAGGGUGCAAGCGUUAUCCGGAAUUAUUGGGCGUAAAGAGCUCGUAGGCGGUUUGUCACGUCUGCUGUGAAAACUGGAGGCUCAACCUCCAGCCUGCAGUGGGUACGGGCAGACUAGAGUGCGGUAGGGGAGAUUGGAAUUCCUGGUGUAGCGGUGGAAUGCGCAGAUAUCAGGAGGAACACCGAUGGCGAAGGCAGAUCUCUGGGCCGUAACUGACGCUGAGGAGCGAAAGGGUGGGGAGCAAACAGGCUUAGAUACCCUGGUAGUCCACCCCGUAAACGUUGGGAACUAGUUGUGGGGUCCAUUCCACGGAUUCCGUGACGCAGCUAACGCAUUAAGUUCCCCGCCUGGGGAGUACGGCCGCAAGGCUAAAACUCAAAGGAAUUGACGGGGACCCGCACAAGCGGCGGAGCAUGCGGAUUAAUUCGAUGCAACGCGAAGAACCUUACCAAGGCUUGACAUAUACGAGAACGGGCUAGAAAUAGUCAACUCUUUGGACACUC